ensembl:lncRNA
GGGUAGAGUCAGUAAGGUACAGAACGGCAGGCAGGCUCAGGGUCAGGGCAGGCAGAGGUCAGUAAUCCAGGGUAGAGUCAGUAAGGUACAGAACGGCAGGCAGGCUCAGGGUCAGGGCAGGCAGAGGUCAGUAAUCCAGGGUAGAGUCAGUAAGGUACAGAAUGGCAGGCAGGCUCAGGGUCAGGGCAGGCAGAGGUCCGUAAUCCAGGGUAGAGUCAGUAAGGUACAGAACGGCAGGCAGGCUCAGGGUCAGGGCAGGCAGAGGUCAAUAAUCCAGGGUAGAGUCAGUAAGGUACAGAACGGCAGGCAGGCUCAGGGUCAGGGCAGGCAGAGGUCAGUAAUCCAGGGUAGAGUCAGUAAGGUACAGAACGGCAGGCAGGCUCAGGGUCAGGGCAAGCAGAGGUCAGUAAUCC